rnacentral:ribozyme from 1 species
UUCCCAGUAACUCCUAUCCCUACCUCCUCGUGGUACUGGCCGGGGUACGAGUAAUCUAAGGGAGAUCGGAUAACCAACCCCGGUGGGAACUUUGGUCGUAUGCUGUCAAGGAAGG